rnacentral:rRNA from 1 species
GACGUAGGGGGCGAGCGUUGUCCGGAUUUAUUAGGCGUAAAGCGCGCGUAGGCGGCUGCGCAAGUCGGUUGUGAAACCCCGGGGCUCAACCCCGGAACUGCAUCCGAUACUGCGUGGCUAGAGGUAGGUAGGGGAGAUCGGAAUUCCUGGUGUAGCGGUGAAAUGCGCAGAUAUCAGGAGGAACACCGGUGGCGAAGGCGGUCUGCUGGGCCGUAGCUGACGCUGAGGCGCGACAGCGUGGGGAGCAAACAGG